AAGUCGUAACAAGGUUUCCGUAGGUGAACCUGCGGAAGGAUCAUUACUGCUUGCUCACGGCGCCGUUCGGGAGACCGGGCGGCGUCGGGCAUGCCACCCUUGUCUAUGUAUACCUGUUGUUAUUCCCUCGGCGGGGCAACCCGUCGAUAGGAAGCUCAAAACCCUCUUGCAUUCAGCAUCAACAAUCUGAAAACAAACAAAACUAUCACAACUUUCAACAAUGGAUCUCUUGGUUCUG
rnacentral:misc_RNA from 1 species